rnacentral:rRNA from 1 species
UGGGGAAUAUUGGACAAUGGGCGAAAGCCUGAUCCAGCAAUGCCGCGUGAAUGAUGAAGGCCUUAGGGUUGUAAAGUUCUUUCAGUAGGGAAGAUAAUGACGGUACCUACAGAAGAAGCUCCGGCUAACUUCGUGCCAGCAGCCGCGGUAAUACGAAGGGAGCUAGCGUUGUUCGGAAUUACUGGGCGUAAAGAGCGCGUAGGCGGUUUGUAAAGUUGGGAGUGAAAGCCCAGGGCUUAACCCUGGAAAUGCUCUCAAAACUCACAAACUAGAGAUUGGUAGAGGGUGGUGGAAUUCCUAGUGUAGAGGUGAAAUUCGUAGAUAUUAGGAGGAACACCGGUGGCGAAGGCGGCCACCUGGGCCAACACUGACGCUGAGGCGCGAAAGCGUGGGGAGCAAACAGG